rnacentral:lncRNA from 1 species
AUGAAUGAACCGCAUGGAAUUCCAGACAAGCCUUUGUCCCAGGAGGUGACUGGAUCAACUACAAUUACCUUGAUUUGGAAUCCAGUCACUCUUCACCAACUCCAGGGCUCCCCUCUUCUCAUCCUGGAUUGUGCGAGCCUUCUGGUUGGUUCCCCUCCACGAUUCUCCCCCAACCCAAGCCAUACACUAUUCUCACACAGUAGGCAGAUUGAUGUCAAAAAACUAAAUAAAGGGUGGCUUCCUAGAAGUUGAAUUUGAGAUGUUCCUUAUCUGUACCCCACAACACCCUGCACAGCUUCCUUCACGCAUCUCUCCAUCAGUGUCUGUGUGAGUCAUGUCUUCCUUGGUGACCCUGAUGCCUGCAAACCCUGUAGCAGGUUGACAUUCUGGGACUGUUGCUCCUGGUGGUAAGUAUUGUUAAGCUUUUUGCUAUCCACUGCACACUGGGACUCCUCACCUGGAGGUGGUAACA